UACAGAGGUGGCAAGCGUUGUUCGGAAUUACUGGGCGUAAAGGGCGCGUAGGCGGCCUUCUAAGUCAGACGUGAAAUCCCCCGGCUUAACCUGGGAACUGCGUCUGAUACUGGAAGGCUUGAGUGCGGGAGAGGGAUGUGGAAUUCCAGGUGUAGCGGUGAAAUGCGUAGAUAUCUGGAGGAACACCGGUGGCGAAGGCGGCAUCCUGGACCGACACUGACGCUGAGGCGCGAAAGCCAGGGGAGCAAACGGG
rnacentral:rRNA from 1 species